AACGGAAUUGCUGCAACCUUUGCUUUGUGUGUUGGGAUGAGGCUUCAUCAUACUAAUGGUGUAGAGACAUCUGGUCCCUGAUGCUGUUGCCUGUCCAUCAUUGAGUGGUGUUUGAUCUCCAUGGUCCUUCAAUGAGAAAAUUAAGACAGGCUGCUCAGCUGCCCAAGACAGACUGAAGUCCACACUUGCACACCACUUUGCAGUUGGUCUGGCUGUGUGACGGUGAAUAACCAAUGACCAUGAGCACGAGUAGUAGGAAUGGCAGGUGAAAGAUGCCCCGCCCCCUCCUUUGCAUUGCUAACAAAGGAGGCUGUGUAUCCUGGAAGGUAAAGCUACAAAACUGCAGUCACUUCUGCCUGAGUCUUUACAAGAGCUGUA